rnacentral:lncRNA from 1 species
GACGGGAUUGUCGGCCAUUUUGAUUGCACUCUCAUUAUCACAUAGCAAAGGGACUUUGGUUAAUUUGUAACCGUAGUCCCGCAGGGUUUGCCUCAUCCAAAGCAAUUGCGCGCAACAAUGUCCUGCGGCAAUGUACUCGGCUUCGGCGGUGGAAAGAGCGACCGAAUUUUGCUUCUUUGAAGCCCAAGACACCAAGGACCUUCCCAAGAACUGGCAAGUCCCUGAUGUGCUCUUCCUAUUAAUUUUGCACCCCGCCCAAUCGGCAUCCGAAUAACCAAUUAAAUCAAAUGUGGAUCCCCGAGGGUACCAAAGCCCAAACUUAGGAGUAUAAGCCAAAUAUCUCAAGAUUCGUUUUACGGCCGUAAGGUGGGAUUCCUUAGGGUCGGAUUGGAAUCUUGCACACAUGCAAACGGAAAGCAUAAUGUCCGGUCGAGAUGCACAUAAAUAAAGCAAUGAACCAAUCAUCGACCGGUAUACCUUUUGAUCCACGGACUUACCUCCCGUGUCGAGGUCGAGAUGCCCAUUAGUUCCCAUGGGUGUCUUGAUGGGUUUGGCAUCCUUCAUCCCAAACUUAGCAAGAAUGUCUUGAGUGUACUUCGUUUGGCUAAUGAAGGUGCCCUCUCGGAGUUGCUUGAUUUGGAAUCCUAGAAAAUAUUUCAACUCCCCCAUCAUCGACAUCUCGAAUUUCUGUGUCAUGAUCCUACUAAACUCUUCACAUGUAGACUCGUUAGUAGACCCAAAUAUAAUAUCAUCAACAUAAAUUUGGCAUACAAACAAGUCAUUUUCAAGAGUUUUAGUAAAGAGUGUAGGAUCGGCCUUGCCGACUUUGAAGCCAUUUGCAAUAAGGAAAUCUCUAAGGCAUUCAUACCAUGCUCUUGGGGCUUGCUUGAGCCCAUAAAGCGCCUUAGAGAGCCUAUAAACAUGGUUAGGAUACUCACUGUCUUCAAAGCCGGGAGGUUGCUCAACAUAGACCUCUUCCUUGAUUGGUCCAUUGAGGAAGGCACUCUUCACGUCCAUUUGAUAAAGCUUGAAGCCAUGGUAAGUAGCAUAGGCCAAUAAUAUGCGAAUUGACUCAAGCCUAGCUACGGGUGCAUAGGUUUCACCGAAAUCCAAACCUUCGACUUGUGAAUACCCUUUGGCUACGAGUCGAGCUUUGUUCCUUGUCACCACACCAUGCUCAUCUUGCUUGUUGCGGAAGACCCAUUUGGUUCCUACAACAUUUUGGUUAGGACGUGGAACUAAAUGCCAGACCUCAUUCCUCGUGAAGUUGUUGAGCUCUUCUUGCAUCGCCACCACCCAAUCCGAAUCUUGGAGAGCUUCCUCUACCCUGUGUGGCUCAAUAGAGGAAACAAAAGAGUAAUGUUCACAAAAAUGAGCAACCCGAGAUCGAGUAGUUACCCCCUUAUGAAUGUCGCCGAGGAUGGUGUCGACGGGGUGAUCUCGUUGGAUUGCUUGGUGGACUCUUGGGUGUGGCGGUCUUGGUUCUUCCUCAUCCUCCUUUUCUUGAUCAUUUGUAUCUCCCCCUUGAUCAUUGCUAUCAUCUUGAGGUGGCUCGUCUUCUUGAUUUUGCUCUUCAUCAUUUUGAGCCUCAUCCUCAUUUUGAGUUGGUGGAGAUGCUUGCAUGGAGGAGGAUGGUUGAUCUUGUGUACUUGGAGGCUCUUCGGAUUCCUUAGGACACACAUCCCCGAUGGACAUGUUCCUUAGCGCGAUGCAUGGAGCCUGUUCAUCACCUAUCUCAUCAAGAUCAACUUGCUCUACUUGAGAGCCGUUAGUUUCAUCAAACACAACGUCACAAGAGACUUCAACUAGUCCAGUGGACUUGUUAAAGACCCUAUAUGCCCUUGUGUUUGAGUCAUAACCAAGUAAAAAGCCUUCUACAGUUUUAGGAGCAAAUUUAGAUUUUCUACCUCUUUUAAUAAGAAUGAAGCAUUUGCUACCAAAAACUCUAAAAUAUGAAAUGUUGGGCUUUUUACCGGUUAGGAGUUCAUAUGAUGUCUUCUUGAGGAUUCGGUGAAGAUAUAACCGGUUGAUGGCGUAGCAGGCGGUGUUGACCGCUUCGGCCCAAAACCGGUCCGGUGUCUUGUACUCAUCAAGCAUGGUUCUUGCCAUGUCCAAUAGAGUUCGAUUCUUCCUCUCCACUACACCAUUUUGUUGUGGCGUGUAGGGAGAAGAGAACUCAUGCUUGAUGCCCUCCUCCUCAAGGAAGCUUUCAAUUUGAGAGUUCUUGAACUCCGUCCCAUUGUCGCUUCUUAUUUUCUUGAUCCUUAAGCCGAACUCAUUUUGAGCUCGUCUCAAGAAUCCCUUUAAGGUCUCUUGGGUUUGAGAUUUUUCCUGUAAAAAGAAUACCCAAGUGAAGCGAGAAUAAUCAUCCACAAUAACUAGACAGUACUUACUCCCGCCGAUGCUUAUGUAAGCGAUCGGGCCGAAUAGAUCCAUGUGUAGGAGCUCCAGUGGCCUGUCAGUCGUCAUUAUGUUCUUGUGUGGAUGAUGAGUGCCAACUUGCUUCCCUGCUUGGCAUGCGCUACAAAUCCUGUCUUUCUCAAAAUGAACAUUGGUUAGUCCUAAAAUGUGCUCUCCCUUUAGAAGCUUAUGAAGAUUCUUCAUCCCAACAUGGGCUAGUCGGCGGUGCCAGAGCCAACCCAUGUUAGUCUUAGCAAUUAAACAUGUGUCGAGCUCAGCUCUAUCAAAAUCUACUAAGUAUAGCUGACCCUCUAACACACCCUUAAAUGCUAUUGAAUCAUCACUUCUUCUAAAGACAGUGACACCUAUAUCAGUAAAAAGACAGUUGUAGCCCAUUUGACAUAAUUGGGAAACAGAAAGCAAGUUGUAAUCUAAUGAAUCAACAAGAAAAACAUUGGAAAUGGAAUGGUCAGGUGAAAUAGCAAUUUUACCCAAACCUUUGACCAACCCUUGAUUUCCAUCCCCAAAUGUGAUAGCUCGUUGGGGAUCUUUGUUUUUCUCAUAUGAGGAGAACAUCCUUUUCUCCCCGGUCAUGUGGUUUGUGCACCCGCUGUCGAGUAUCCAACUUGAGCCCCCGGAUGCAUAAACCUACAAAACAAAUUUAGUUCUUGACUUUAGGUACCCAAACUGUUUUGGGUCCUUUGGCAUUAGAUACAAGAACUUUGGGUACCCAAACACAAGUCUUGGAGCCCUUGUGUUUGCCCCCAACAAAUUUGGCAACUACUUUGCCGGAUUUGCUAGUAAGCACAUAAGACGCAUCAAAAGUUUUAAAUGAAAUGGCAUGAUCAUUUGAUGCAUUAGGAAUUUUCUUCUUAGGCAACUUGGCACGGGUUGGUUGCCUAGAACUAGAUGUCUCACCCUUAUACAUGAAAGCAUGGUUAGGGCCAGAGUGAGACUUCCUAGAAUGAAUCUUCCUAAUUUUGCUCUCAGGAUAGCCUGCAGGGUAUAAAAUGUAACCCUCGUUAUCCUGAGGCAUGGGAGCUUUGCCCUUAACAAAGUUAGACAAGUUCUUAGGAGGGGCAUUAAGUUUGACAUUGUCUCCCUUUUGGAAGCCAAUGCCAUCCUUGAUGCCAGGGCGUCUCCCAUUAUAGAGCAUGUUUCUAGCCAAUUUAAAUUUUUCAUUUUCUAAGUCAUGCUCUCUAAUCUUAGCAUUUAGUUGAGCUAUGUGAUCAUUUUGUUUAUUAAUUAAGGCUAGGUGAUCAUGGAUAGCAUCAACAUUAAUAUCUCUACAUCUAGUGCAAAUAGAAACAUGCUCAACAUUAGAUGUAGAGGGUGUGCAAGAUUUAAGUUCUACAACCUUAGCAUGCAACAUUUCAUUCUUAGUUCUAAGGUCGGAAAUAGUAGCAUUGCAAACAUCAAAAUUUUUAGCCUUAGUAAUUAAAUUAUCAUUCUCUAAUCUAAGGCUAGCAAGAGAUGCAUUCAAUUCAUCAAUCUUAGCAAGCAAGUCAACGUUAUCAUUUCUAAGAUUGGGAAUUGAAACAUUACAAACAUGUGAAUCAACCUUAGCAUUUAAAAUAGCAUUUUCAUUUCUAAGGUUGUCAAUCAUCUCACGGCAAGUGCUUAGCUCACUAGACAAUUUUUCACAUUUUUCAACCUGUAGAGCGUAAGCAUUUUUAACCUUAACAUGUUUCUUAUUCUCCUUGAUUAGGAAGUCCUCUUGGGAGUCCAAGAGAUCAUCCUUUUCAUGGAUGGCACUAAUUAGUUCAUUUAAUUUUUCCUUUUGUUCCAUGUUAAGGUUAGCAAAAAGAAUGCGCAAGUUAUCCUCCUCAUUUUUAUCAUCAUCCUCAUCACUAGAUGUUUCAUAUUUGGUGGAGGACCUUGAUUUUACCUUCUUUUUGCCGUCCUUGGCCAUGAGACACUUGUGGCCGACGUUGGGGAAGAGAAGGCCCUUGGUGACGGCGAUGUUGGCGGCGUCCUCGUCGUCGGAGGAGUCGCUUGAGCUUUCGUCGGAGUCCCACUCCCGACAAACAUGGGCAUCGCCGCCCUUCUUCUUGUAGUAUUUCUUCUUCUCCUUUCUUCUUCCCUUCUUGUCGUCGCCCCUGUCACUGUCACUAGACAUAGGACAUUUUGCAAUGAAGUGACCGGGCUUACCACACUUGUAGCAAACCUUCUUGGAACGAGGUUUGUAGUCCUUCCCCUUCCGUUGCUUGAGGAUUUGCCUAAAGCUUUUGAUGAUUAGGGCCAUCUCCUCAUUGUCGAGCUUGGAGGCGUCAAUUGGUUGUCUACUUGGUGUAGAUUCCUCCUUCUUCUCCUCCGUUGCCUUAAAGGCCACUGGUUGCGCCUCGGAGGUGGAAGGCUCGUCAAGCUCGUUGAUCUUCUUGGAGCCCUUAAUCAUGCAUUCAAAACUCACAAAAUUCCCGAUAACUUCCUCGGGGGUCAUUAGUGGAUAUCUAGGAUUCCCACGAAUUAAUUGUACUUGAGUGGGGUUAAGGAAAAUAAGAGCUCUUAGAAUAACCUUAACCACUUCGUGGUCAUCCCAUUUUGUGCUCCCGAGGUUGCGCACUUGGUUCACCAAGGUCUUGAGCCGGUUGUACAUGUCUUGUGGCUCCUCCCCUUGGCGAAGACGGAAGCGACCGAGCUCCCCCUCGAUCGUUUCCCGCUUGGUGAUCUUGGUGAGUUCAUCACCCUCGUGCGCCGUCUUGAGUAGGUCCCAAAUCUCCUUGGCGUUCUUCAAUCCUUGUACUUUGUUGUAUUCCUCCUUGCUUAGGGAGGCAAGGAGGAUGGUUGCGGCUUGGGAGUUGAAGUGCUCGAUUUGGGCCACUUCGUCCGUGUCGUAGUCCUCAUCCCCUAUUGAUGGUACCUGUACACCAUACUCAACAACAUCCCAUAUUCUUUUGUGGAGAGAGGUUAGAUGAAAUCGCAUCAAAUUACUCCACAUAGCAUAAUCUUCACCAUUAAAAGUUGGUGGUUUGCCUAAUGGGACGGAAAGUAAAGGUGUAUGUUUAGGAAUGCGAGGGUAACGUAGGGGGAUCUUACUAUACUUCUUGCGCUCUUGGCGCUUAGAAGUGACGGAGGGCGCAUCGGAGUCGGAGGUAGAAGUUGAUGAAGUGUCGGUCUCGUAGUAGACCACCUUCCUCAUCCUCUUGUGCUUGUCGCCUUUCCGAUGCGGCUUGUGGGAAGAAGAUUUUUCCUUCUUCUCUUUGUGGUGAGAAGAAGAUUUCUUCUCCUUCCCUUUGUUUGAGGAGCUCUUCUUCUUCUCCCUCCUUUUGGUGCGGGACUCUUCCGAUGAAGUGCUCCCGUAGCUUGUAGUGGGCUUUUCGCCGGUCUCCAUCUCCUUCUUGGCGUGAUCUCCCGACAUCACUUCGAGCGGUUAGGCUCUAAUGAAGCACCGGGCUUUGAUACCAAUUGAUAGUCGCCUAGAGGGGGGGGUGAAUAGGGCGAAACUGAAAUUUACAAAUAUAAACACAACUACAAGCCGGGGUUAGCGUUAGUAAUAAUAAAUGAGUCCGCAAGAGAGGGCGCAAAACAAAUCGCAAGCAAAUAAGGAGAGUGACACGCGGAUUUGUUUUACCGAGGUUCGGUUCUUGCAAACCUACUCCCCGUUGAGGAGGCCACAAAGGCCGGGUCUCUUUCAACCCUUCCCUCUCUCAAACGGUCCCUCGGACCGAGUGAGCUUUCCUUCUUCUCAAUCAACCGGGAACAAAACUUCCCCGCAAGGGCCACCACACAAUCGGUGCCUCUUGCCUCGGUUACAAUCGAGUGUUGAUCACAAGAGCACAAGAGAAAGAAAGAAUGCGAUCCAAGCGCAAGAGCUCAAAAGAACACGGAAAAUCUCUCUCGCUAGUCACUAAAGGCUUGAGUGGAAUUUGGAGAGGAUUUGAUCUUUUUGUAUGUGUCUAGAAUUGAGUGCCUAGCUCUUGUAAGUGGUUAGAAGUUGGAAAACUUGGAUGGCUAUGAAUGUGGGGUGGUUGGGGUAUUUAUAGCCCCAACCACCAAACUUGACCGUUGGCUGGAGGCUUCUGUUCGAUGGCGCACCGGACAGUCCGGUGCACACCGGACAGUCCGGUGCCCCUGCCACGUCACCACUGCCGUUGGAUUCUAGUCGUUGGAGCUUCUGACUUGUGGGCCCGCCUGGGUGUCCGGUGCACACCGGACAUGCACUGUUUGAUGUCCGGUGCACCGGUAUGGGCAGCCCUGACGUCUGCGCGCGCUGCGCGCGCAUUUAAUGCUGCGCAGAGAGCCGUUGGCGCCGCAGAGAGCCGUUGCUCCGCUGGUACACCGGACAGUCCGGUGCACACCGGACAGUCCGGUGAAUUAUAGCGGAGCGGCUGUCGCGCGAACCCGAGGCUGGCGAGUUCCGGAGGCCGAGCUUCCUUGGAGCACCGGACAUGUCCGGUGCACACCGGACAGUCCGGUGAAUUAUAGCGCGUCGGCUUCCGAGAAUUCCCGAGAGAGAAGGGUUUGAGUCUGAGUCCCCUGGUGCACCGGACAGGUACUGUGCACUGUCCGGUGGCACACCGGACAGUCCGGUGCGCCAGACCAGGGGUGCCCUCGGUUGCCCCUUUGCUCCUUUAUUGAAUCCAACACUUGAUCUUUUUAUUGGCUAGAUGUGAACCUUUUGCACCUGUAUAACUUAUACACUAGAGCAAACUAGUCAGUCCAAUAUUUGUGUUGGGCAAUUCAACCUCCAAAAUUAUUUAGGAACUAGGUGUAAGCCUAAUUCCCUUUCAACAUUGAUCAAGGGGGAGAUGAAGAUGAUCAAGAAAAGAAAGAUGAUCAAGAGAUUCAAGAUCAAAGACCACCACACCCAAGAGUCCACCAAACAAUUCAAAGAGAUCACCCCAUCAACUCCAUCCUUGGUGAUAUCCACAAUGGGGUAAUCACUCGAUCUUGAGUUGCACAUUUUUGUGAACAUUACUCUUUUGUGUCUUCUAUUGAGCCAUGCAGGAUAGAGGAUGCUGUCACACCCCGGAUUUAAGGGAUAAAGCCGGGCACGUCUCAUAUGUGCGCCAAAGAAAAACAACACAUAUAAUAAUAGAGUGUAUAGAGAUAAAUGUCAUAAUAUCAUAAAAGUAUUUAUUACAUAGCGGAAGUUUUACAAAAAUUAAAUAUAAAUAUAAAGUGAACUAAUGUCCAUCCUUGGCGCCAUAAAGUCGACUGGCAGACGCCACCUAGGUCAAGUCGUACUCCUCGUUGUAUGGCUCCUCCUGGACCACCUGCUCUUCUCUUGUGGGGGGGUAUGUAUCGCAAGUGUGAGCUCACAAAAGAUCAUAGCUCAAUAGGUUGUGGGGAAUAAUGUGCAUGAACUCACCAAAGGUGGGAGUUCAUGUGAAGUGUAAGGCUAAUCAACAAUAGGGGUUAAAGCUGAGCAUUGUUUUUAAUAAGUUGGUCAAAUUUUAUUAGCAAUUACUAGAUGUAAGUAAAUACCAUACUAGAAUAGAAAUAAUAGAACAAAUUAAUAGUGAAUCCCAUGCAAUGCAAAUGACAAAUUGAAUUUAGUUCCAUAGUUUAAUCAUGCGAGAGUCCUGAACUGCUCAUGACCGCGAGCACGGCUAGUAUACCAGUUUUACACUCUGCAGAGGUUGUACCCUAUACCCACAAGUCAUGUUACCCAUCUGCCAAGGGGUCAUGAAUCCCAUACACCUCUACCAAGGAGGCGAGGCAGGGUAACACUACGAGGCCUUUACAAAGUUCUACUAGCUUCAGAAAACCCGCUACAGUUUCUAGGAAGAGGAAUGCAAGAAUCCCCCGUCUGACCGCCAUCGCAGCAAAAUCAACCCGAGAACCUCCCUACAUGCCUACUCCCCUACUGCACUUGCCCUUAUCGGGUAAGGUAGUCCUCCACUAGCUUUCCUAGUUAGUCAGCCAAGGGCGUCUCAUUUCACCCUUGUGGUGGCACGUGUUUCUCAAGUUAAGCUCCAUAUUCUAAUUAAAAAUAAUGAUCUUGACAUGAACAUUAAAUAAAUAACAGUAUAAUUGGAACAUGAACAUAAUGUAAUAUUAAACCCAAAACCAUAUAGAGCAAUAGCAAAACUACCUAAAUAAUUCAGGGGUGAACACGGUAAAAAGAUUACAAGACUAGGGUGACCUAUUGGGUCCAUCAAAAUUAAACCUAUGCAUGAAUAAAUGAUUAUAAAGAACAUUAUUGGGUAAUAAAAGUGGUCAAGGGCACAACUUGCCUUCAAAAUACAAACAAGCAUAGUACAAAGGAGAAAUUAACAUCACACCAAACAUGUAUACAAAAUACAUAUUAAUAAUCUACACACUAAAAUGAGAUCAUAGGAAAAAGAAUCACUAAAUUUAGAGUUAUGGAUUUUAAGUUAUGGAUUUCCGAAGGUUCUAUGUAUUUGACAAAAGAUUCAUUAAGAGAUCAAUUUUAAUACAUUUUUCAUGUCAAAACAGAGACAUUAUGUGAUGAACAAUAUUAUUACAAAAUUAUAGGAACUGGAAUGGACUAAAAAGGAGUUAAAACAAAUUUUAUAUGAAUUUUACAAAUUCCUAGAAUUAUUUUUGUAUUAAAAAUCAAUUUCUAUAAUUAAUUCUCUAAUUUCUCUUAUUCCUGGACUGCGCGCCAAUCAAACAGAAACACAGGAGCCACUGUGCAAGAAUUUCCAUACUCGGUACACAGUGGCACUGUGUUGGGGCGAAGGCGAAGACGCCACCCUUCGCUCGAUGCCUUCACCAGCCUCGCUGCACCAAUGAAGACAAGACGACUGGCAGACUUACCCUUCGUCCCACGCGUCGCUGGACGAAGGCCCAUGACGAGGUCGUCCCAUCCCGCGGCGUCGUCCAACAUGGAGGCCCACAUGUGAUCUGGCCCAUUGUAACAGUCCCUGCGCGGCCGCUGCGCAUUACGGGCCUAAUUUGUAAAGGUUUCCCUGUAAUUACAGUCUGUAACCCUGCUUUAUGGGAAUAUUCCGGAGAUAACCUAGGCGCCUGAGGGCACAUACGUCCUUAACUCAGGAUGCUGGGCACUCAGGUACCUAUAAAUACCCCCGCACAGUGCCCUUGUGAGGCUAGAUUAACAGAGCUAUUGCCACCUCGAAUCAAAACCUUGUUUACGUUGCUUUCACUCCCCCGUUGGAUCAACUUGUCCAGGAGAGCAAGUUCCAACACACUGGACUACGGGUUAGUUUCCGAUAAGCUCAGGGGCUAUUUUGCAUAACUACACGGCUAGAUCGAUAUGACGUUCUCUCAACCGCGCGAUCACACGAGGACGGUGCGGAUUAGAUCACUCUCUCCACGAACUGGUACGCAGCCUAGUCCCUUGGAUCAGCGAUCCAAGGCCACCGUUUAUCGUGCGCCCGAUUUGAUCACAAUCGUCCGAUCCCAUCGCCACAACACUAGGGAUGAAAACGGAUGGAAACGGACGGAAAAACCCCUCUCCCGUUUCCGUAUCUAAAUUUUAUCGUCGGAAACGGGAUCGGGCCCGGAAUAGUCGGGAACGGAAACGAGAGCGGGAUAAACGGAAUUGCGAAAACGAACGGAAACGGAAAUACUAACGGAAACUCAUAAUUUAAUACAAAUAUAAAUGUUACUGAUGUUUGACUAGUGAUUUAUUGGUAAAACAAUAACAUAAAACAAAUAGAUAUAAAGAGGCAACAUUCUAUUAUUGUUUGGUUGCUAAAUGUGUACAUUUAGCUACAUCCGAUGUUGUUUUAAGACUUUAAAUCACUUGUCAUUGAAAAGAGCCGGUGGUUAUAAUGGCCAAGUGUGCUAUAAUUUGUAACCUAAAUACACGAGGCUUUAGUUUAUAUACUAAUGUAUAUUAGGCUCGUCCCAUAUUUGUCAAAUUCGGAAAAAAUACGGGUUCAAUCCGGAAAAAAACGGGAUCCCGCAAAAACGGACGGAACAAACCCUCUCCUGUUUCUGUCACGUUUCCAUAUUUUUCCGUAAAUACGGAAACGGUCGGGUCAAAACGGUACGGUUCGGGAUGGGAUUUUAUUCUUCUGUAUUCAACCCUACACGGCACAGAUCCGACCGUGCGAAGGAGGAAACACGAUUAUCUAAUGCUGGUCGUGGAUGCCCGAUCCAACGGCCGACGUCUCUUCCCCAAUCCCCCGCUCACUCGCCGCGCCCAGCACGACGGAGGGCAUUGCCCAUGGCGGCACACCGCCGGAAUUUAGUCGCAAAAGGGGGGCCCGACGAUCAUACCCCGAUUAAAUAGGUUUCCACGUGGCUGGGAACAUGGAGAGGCCAAUAGGGGUAGUUGCACCACGGAUUAUGGCACCAAAUCACCGGCCACGGGAUUUAUGUGGACGACUUAGCCGCGGAGCCACAGCGGCGAGCGCGGAUGCUCAGGAUGCCCCAAACUAACCUCGACUCGUCAUAAUUGAUCGCAGAAAUGAUGCGUAAUGAAUGUAGUAUCGGUGUGGAUUCGUGGAGGCACUGGUCCUCUGGUCGGUGAUUUGCAGGGAAUCAACGCGGGCGUACCACUCCGGUGAAGCCGUCCGCACUCCCACCAAAUUGAUGCACACCACGAACGCCCAAGCCUUGCUAGAUGCCGGUAGCCCUGCGGUGCUGGACGACAGAGAAGAACCGGCCGGUGGCGGCAACAAAUUCUCCGCCCAAGGAGGUAGCGCACGGACGUAUGGUGGGACGCCAAGCACAUGGACAAAGGGAGGCGAGAGAUGAACGGGAUGAGUAGAUAUAGCGCGGGCGACACCCACGACUAGGGAACAGACUUCCCCAGGAUUCACGGCGAGGUCCCGCAAUUACCGGCAAGGUCGUGGCAAGCAGGUGCUGACAUUACGGGUCCACGUGAUAGAGUAACGCGCAGUGCAGAAGCAGCUGGCGCGUGGGGCCAGUGACGCAGCAAUAGCCAGCGCGCGGAAGUGAUAGAGCGGCUGUGGGUGACUGGCGCAUAGGCCUGCAGUGUCGGCGCCGAGUUCUUAAAUUUGGGCUACGCGGAAGGGAUUUGCUAGGUGGGCCAGAUUUAGGUUUCGCGGCCCACAAGUGGUUUCCUCUUUAUCUUUAUCUUUUAUCUUUUCUAAUUUAUUUUCCUUUUCAUUUUCAAAUCUAAAAUUUGAGUUCAAAUUUUGCAGAAAAAUUUGCACUCAAUUUCAAUAUUCAAUCUGAACAUAUCAAUGGGAUGAACUUAUUUAAUUAUGGAUUUAUUUUGUGCUCCAUAGUAUUUCUUCCUUCUUUUCUCUUCUAUAUAUUAUCUCUAAAUUCCUAAAUUAUGUCUUUGGGUUAAAUUCAAAAUUCUCAAAUUACUAUCAUAUUUUAUUAGUGUCACUAUCAUCUUUAUUAAAUGCACAAACAUACUCCAAUAUGAUCCAUGGCUUUUCUUUAUGUGUUUUUAUUAAAGAAUUCUCUUUUGAUUAGGUUUAGUCACAUGUCUCAAGAAAUAGCUAGCAAAUCACAUAAGGAGAUCAAAUCUUUCAUAAGUUUUAUAAUUUGGGUAUUACAGAUGCACUAAGAGAUCGGGGCUGGGUGGUGGCAAUGCAAGAGGAGCUCAACAACUUCACGAGGAAUGAGGUAUGUCAUUUAGUUCCACGUCCUAACCACAAUGUUGUAGGUACCAAGUAGGUAUUCCACAACAAACAAGAUGAGCAUGGUGUGGUGACUAGGAACAAAGCCCUACUUGUUGCUAAAGGAUAUUCACAAGUCGAAGGUUUGGAUUUUGAUGAAACCUAUGCACCCGUAGCUAGGCUUGAGUCGAUUCGUAUAUUACUUGCCUAUGUUACUUACCAUGGCUUUAAGUUGUAUCAAAUGGACGUGAAAAGUGUCUUCCUCAAUGGCCCUAUCAAGGAAGAGGUAUAUGUUGAGCAACUUCCCGGCUUUCAAGAUAGUGAGUAUCCUACACUUGUUUAUAAGCUCUCAAAGGCGCUUUAUGGGCUUAAACAAGCCCCAAGAGCAUGGUAUGAAUGCCUAAGAGACUUUCUUCUCACUAAUGGCUUUAAAAUCGAUAAAGCUGAUCCUACUCUCUCCACUAAAACAAUUGACAAAGACUUGUUUAUAUGCCAAAUUUAUAUUGAUGAUAUUAUCUUUGGGUCUACUAACAAGUCAUCUUGUGAAGAGUUUAGUAGGAUUAUGAUACAGAAAUUCGAGAUGUCUAUGAUGGGGGAGCUGAAGUAUUUCUUUGGAUUCCAAAUCAAGCAACUCCAAGAAGGCACCUUCAUCUACCAAACUAAGUAUAUUUAGGACAUUCUCAAGAAGUUUGGAAUGAAUGAUGCCAAACCCAUCAAGACUCCCAUGGGAACAAAUGGGCAUCGACCUCGACACAAGAGGUAAAUCUGUAGAUCAAAAGGUAUAUCGGUCGAUGAUAGGAUCUCUACUCUAUUUAUGUGCUUCACGACCGGAUAAUAUGCUUUCAGUAUGCAUGUGUGCAAGGUUCCAGGCCAAUCCUAAGGAAGUUCACCUUAGGGCUGUGAAAAGAAUCAUGAGAUAUUUAUUUUACACUCCUAAGUUUGGGCUAUGGUACCCCAAGGGAUCUACCUUUGAUCUAAUUGGGUAUUCUGCUGCCGAUUAUGCCAGAUGUAAAAUUGAUAGAAAUAGCACAUCAGGGACUUAUCAGUUUCUGGGGAGAUCUCUGAUGUCUUGGGCUUCAAAGAAACAAAAUUCAGUAGCUCUAUCCACCGCCGAAGCCAAGUAUGUUGUCGCAGGACAUUGUUGUGCACAAUUACUCUGGAUGAGGCAAACUCUUAGAAACUAUGGCUACAAAUUGCACAAAGUCCAUCUCCUAUGUGAUAAUGAGAGUGCAAUCCGCAUGGCGGAUAAUCCUGUUGAACACAGCCGCACUAAGCACAUAGACAUCCGGUAUCACUUUCUGAGAGAUCACCGACAAAGGGGAGAUAUCGAAAUUGCCUAUGUUAACAACCACAACCAAUUAGUCAAUAUCUUUACCAAGCCCCUAGAUGAAAAGACUUUUAGCAAGCUUAGGAAUGAACUAAAUAUCUUAGGUUCUCGAAACUUUGAUUGAAUUCUUGCACAUAUUGCCCUUUCCAUACCUUUGAUCAUAUCUCUUUCAUUUGGUACAAAUGCGUAUUUCUUAGUUCUUAUGCCAAAGCUAAGACUAAUGUGCUUCCAAGAAUAUUUCUAUGCCUAGUCUUAGAUUGAAAGGGAAAUAGAGUUUAAGGCAAAGGCAAGGCUUCCACUAUGACUGUCGGUAUCAUAUAUCCUUUGCCCUACUCAUGCACUUACUUUCAUAUCUUUAUUGUUAAAGGCCUCUAGUUUUCUUCGUUUUUGGCGCUUAAUGCCAAAGGGGGAGAAAUUAAUAGGCCAAAGCAAAAGGACCGCACCACCACCCUGUUCACCCUGUUUUGUAAAAACGUUUUCAAAAAGAAGGGGAGAAAUUAAAAACAAAAGUAAAAACCCUCUUGACAGCUAAGGGAAGAACCUUUUCAGAGGGGGUUUUUAUUUAGCCAAAGGAAAAGCAUUUAAGAAAGGGGGUGAAUCUUUUAAAACUUUAAAAAAUGCUUUCAAAAUCAUAUGCUUACACUAUUGGCUAAUUGCAAAAGAUUUUAAAAAGACUUUUCCAAAAUAUUUGCAAAAACAAGCUAAGUGGUGAAAAUGUGGUCCAAAAUAUUAAAUAUAUCAAGACAAUCACAUAUGUUUAGAACUGCUUUCAUUUCAAAGUAACUUAUGCACAUAUGACAAAAUGCAAACUAGUUACAUUUCUUCACUUUGUAUUUCAUUUGGUUUGUGUUGGCAUCAAUCACCAAAAAGAGGGAGAUUAAAAGGGAAAUGGCCUAAACAUUUCCUACAAUCGAUUUUGGUGUUUGACGACCAUCACAAACCUUAUGAACUAACUAGUUCGCCUAGUUAAUAUUUUUCUUAGUUGCAUAAAGUUCAUAUACACAUACAAAGAAAAUAACCUCGGGGCAAUUCUACAAGAUUGGAGCAAAACAGACGUGCUGAAGCCAGUGGCGCACCAGAGUGUCUGGUGCCCUGGCUAGAGCACUCCACGAACUGGCCGCUCUCGGGUUUUCUCGGCGCUCGUCCGCUAAAAAUCACCGGACUGUCCGGGGAACCCUCGGAGCAACAGUCGACUGCGGGACUGUGCCCGCAGUCUACAGUGCUAGAAGUCAGAAGACAGUCUGCGACGACAGGUCGCACCGUACUGUCUGGUGCACCAUAAGGACAGAAGACUUCAACGGUCAGCAACUCAAAACCCCAAUGGUCGACUGACGUGACAUGCACCGGACAGUGAACAGUGGAGUGUCCGGUGCACCACCGGACUGUCCGGUGUGCCCAUCGAGAGAGCAGUCAGCCAACGACUAGAAUAGUGGUUGCGGCUAUAAAUACCCCUCCAACCACCACCAUUCAAGCCAUCCAAGCAUCCCACUCUCCUCAUUCAAUACAAGAGCAAAGAAUACACUCUAAAGACACAUUCAAAGCCUCGAAUCCUCUCCAAGUGCCAAAAUCAAGUCAAGUGAUCUAAAGUGUUUAGUGACUUGAGAGAGGGUGAUUUGUGUUCUAAUUGUUGCUUUUGUUGCUCGAUUGCUUUCUUCUUCUUCUUCUUCGAAUCUUUCCAAGUGUUUUGUAAAGCAAGCAAGAGACACCUAAUUAUGUGGUGAUCCUUACAGGGUCUUAGUGACCCGUGAGAUUAAGAAGAAGCACUCGAUCAGUCUAAGUGACCGAUUGAGAGAGGGAAAGGUUUGAAAUAGACCCGGCCUUUAUGCCCUCCUCAACGGGGAGUAGAUUCUUUGGAACCGAACCUCGGGAAACAAAUCACCGUGUUCACUUGUAUUAAUCUUCACCAUUCAAUUUGUUUCUUCCCUCUACUCUCUCUCUAAAGUUCUCUUGCUCACAUUGUUUUGAGUUAGCUUCCAAUGUUAUCUGCAUUGAUUGAGCAACUCAUUGCAAGGAGAACUAUCUUCCGCACUCCAAAUUCACAAUUAUUUAUUUCUAAUCCUAACCCCGGGUGAAGUGAGUGUUUAAAGUUUAUAAUUUUCAGGUUUUGCCUAUUCACCCCUUCUAGGCGACUUUCAGAAGCAGCAACUUUCUGUCGACGGGUGUGGUGGACAGUCUGAUGCACACCGGACAUGCGUUGUUCACUGCCCGGUGCCCUGCCACGUCAGCCGACUGUUGGGGUCUAUAGUAGUCGACCAUUGGAUCCGACCGUUACCUAGACUGUCUAGUGCACACCAGAUAGUCCGGUGCUACAGCCCGAGACCGCCCGAUGUGGGCCUCUCUACGUAGACUGCCCGAUGUCCCACCGGACAGUCCAGUGCACACCAGACAUGUUACUGUCCACUGUCCGGUGCACCACCAGUGCGCUGGUUGACUGCCCACUUCAUGGAUUUCUUCGUUGUUUCCUUGGGCUUCUUUUGUUCUUGAGUCUUGGACUUCUAUGCUUCUUUUAUGUCUUCUUUUGAGGUGUUGCAUCCUUAGUGCCUUAGUCCAAUCCUCUUCACAUCAUGUGAACUAUAAACAUAAUUAAACACUAGCAAACAUAUUAGUCCACAUGUUAUGUUGAUCAUCAAACACCAAAAUCCCCUUAGCCAAAUGGCCCGGGGUCCAUUUUCCUUACAAUGAGGAGCAUGAAGGAUGCUACGAUGAGUUCGGAGAGGUUUAGGCCGUCGUCUCAUAGUCAACUAUAGUUGCGGAGGAUCGUUGUCGUCAUAUGAUGUAUUUAUUUAGCUAUUUUGUAUAGAACCUCUAUUAUAUAAUAAAUAUGUGACAUUGAUUUUUGUACCAUAAGUCAUCAUAUGUGUGAGACUUGAUCCUAGCACACAUUGAGACGCACUUGGAUCUGUCCUUAAAUCCGGGUGCACCCACCAAGCAAGUCUGCGAAGUGGAGAUCCAAGUCCAACACUAUGAGCCCACGUCGGAUUUGAUAAGAUGUGUCACUACAGGCCGCGACUGGAUAUAUAGGCGACAGACCAAGGGCGUGCCGGGAGGUCGCAAUCAACAUGACUAUACAUCCCCACGUACGGUCUGAGGUGCGCCUCCACUGCCUCAACGGGGCCAGUCGACCUUAGUCAUGGGGGACCUCAACACCGGAGCUUCUACAGUGGGACGUAUAGUGGACGGCACACGGUGGAUACACCAUACCGGGUGUACGCCUACGCACGCCGAUGAGUGACGCGGGCCCGUGAGGACAGGUGAGACUGCACGACGUAUGACUGUGCCAUAUGACUGACCCGCGAGAGCUCCUAUGCACUAUUACGAAGAUGUCAACAAAAGACUCGCUACAGGGACCCGUAUGACGAACGAACAAGACAAUACACCAUGUUGGGAGUACGGUUGCGCACGACCCUAUGGACGACGUUAGAAGGGCUACGCCAUCCAGGAGCGACGAACAUGCCCUUGCUAGCAGAAUACAAGUCUCCAAUGCAAGGUUCUGUCCUUGAGCUAUAAAAUGGCAGGAUCCCUUCUAUCUACACAUGGUCACACCAAUUGUAACACGCCUCUAAGUAAUCUACGAUCAACACUACACUAGACUAAGGUGUGAGCCUGAACCAGUAUAAUCUCUCUGUCUCAAUCCACGUCUGAGUUCUAGCGAUUCAACAUUCAGAGUGAGUUCACUCUAGCACCCCGCCGAACACAAAUCUUAUUAUCUCCGGUUCCGAAACCACGAUAACGAUAACGAGUAUUAAAUAUAGUUUAAUUAUAAAACUAAUUAUAUAGAUGAAGACUAAACUGCGUGACAAAUUUAUUAAGCCUGAUUAAUUUAUGAUUAGCAAAUGUUUAUCGUAACACCACAUAAACGAAUCAUAGACUAAUUACAUUUAAUAAGUUCGUCUUAUCGUUUAGUUCUCAUAUACGUAAUUAGUUUUUAUAAUGAUACUAUAUUUAAUACUUUUAACUAAUAUCUAAAUAUUUGAUAUGACAGAGACUAAAAUUUAGUCAAUUUAACCAAACCAAAACAUUAAAAGGGGUUCAUUCACAUUUUGUCGAGAAACGAACGAGAAUAGUGGUGUUUUAUUAUUAGCGUUUCUCUACAUUAGUAACACACAACUUUUUAUAUUUUUUGGCGCGCCCUUACUUAUGAGCAUUUAUUUAGAAUUAUAUAAUCUAACAAAUUUUGAACUAAUUUGAGAUUAUAAUCAGGAUAAAUUAUAUAAUCUAACAAAUUUUAAAUUAAGAGUAUUUUGUUAGAUUAUAUAAUCUGUUCAGAUUAUAAUGCAAACAAACACCUACUAUACAUAGCAGCAUAGAAGUGGUCAAGUUUUGUGGACCGCUGAGAAACCCAACCAAACUCUAUUUUUUGAAUGGUCAAAAUGGCGUUCUUCUCCGUUGCACACUAUCUCUACGGGCAACCAGACAAAUCUUCGGGUCUCCCAUGUUAUUUAAGGUCACCAUAGGCCCUGCUGCGAAACCAGGAUAGUUUGGCUACCCUCGUCGUCGUCUCACUCACCCCGCCUUCACGCCUCCCUCACCAAAUAAGGUCCCGCCCUUUUCCGACAUUCACAGGGGGGACAGGAAAUCAGCGGCCAUGGCCUCGAUUCCGGCGACGACCUUCGCCGUCAUCUUAUCCGUCCUCUUCUGUGCCGCGGCUGGCACCGCCGUCGACAACGACCUCCCCGACUACGUCAUCCAGGGCCGCGUCUAUUGCGACACCUGCCGCGCCGGGUUCGUGACCAAUGUCACCGAGUACAUCGCGGGCGCCAAGGUGAGGCUGGAGUGCAAGCACUUCGGCACCGGCAAGCUCGAGCGCUCCAUCGACGGGGUGACCGACGGGAACGGCACGUACACGAUCGAGCUCAAGGACAGCCACGAGGAGGACAUCUGCGAGGUGGUCUUGGUGGAGAGCCCGCGCAAGGACUGCGACCAGGUGCAGGCGGACAGGGACCGCGCCGGCGUCCUGCUCACCAGGAACGUCGGCAUCAGCGACAACCUGCGCCCCGCCAACCCGCUCGGCUACCUCAAGGACGUGCCGCUGCCCAUCUGCGCCUCGCUGCUCAAACAGUUGGACUCGGACGACGACGACGAUCAGUAAUAGCACAUCGACGACGACGAUCGAUAUGUAAUAGCACGUCGUCGACGACCGACCGCAGUCGUCGCAGACUGGCUGGCACUAAACCACAAAUCCUCUUCACCUGGAUUACAAAUAUGUAACUGAGAAAGGAAAGGAAAACAAAAAUGUAACUGCGUGGCUGUACCAAAUUCUGAGUGCUGGAUUCUUGCUAUUGUCACCCAUUGUUCGUUUUAUCAUACAAGUUGCAGCGCAGCGCAAGACGGCUAAGGCCUUGUUCGUUUGUGUCGGAUUGCAUCCGGAAUCGUUCCACCUAAUCAAAGUUUAUAUAAAUUAGAGAAGCAAUCCGGUUCGAAAUCAUUCCGACCCACCAAUCCAGUAGAAACGAAUAAGGCCUAAAACAGACAGCAAUACAGCUCUGGUGAAAACAUGCCGACAGAAAUAACCAAUCUAAUGACCUGCGGUUCUGACAGCAAGAUAAAUAUACCAUUUCAUUUCCAUGGGAAAUCAAUAAGUUACAUGGCGUUCAUAAGGACUAAGCACGGCCAAGGUGUAUUUUGCACCUAAAGCACGCACAGCAUAUUGAUUACAUAACAUCUCAUGAAGCGUGCAUUAGUCCUAAGGGGUGCUCGUGGCAAAGCUUGGAUUAUCAAAGAAGAAGAUAGCUAUUCUUCUCUACCACGGCUUCAGAUCUCCCACAGGACCAGCGGUCCAGUUGAGGCGCUGAUCGCCAGGUUGUAAGAACGUACCCUCUGGGUGCGGGAGCUUCCGAGCAAGGCCGUUCAAGAUUUGGUGGAACGCGUCCCUUGGUUGCGCUGGCUGUGGGAACAACAUUGCCUGCUUCAUCGAUGGAUUUGCGAGUAACCUUUGCUUCCUUAAGAUGUCAUCUAUAGGCAUCGACGUGAGGAUCGUGUCAAGCUUUGGGACAUCCUUCUCCUCGACAAAGACGCCGAUUUCCUCCCAUGGGAUCGCGUCCGCAAAUGGAAGCACGAUGUCAUCAGCUAUGAUGACUGGAAUGCAGCCAAAGACCACAGCCUCAACCAACCUAGGGCUCCACGGUGCCCAGCCCAAUGGGCACAGGCAGAAGACAGCGCGCUGCAUGUCUUCAUAGUAAGUGGCAGGGUGGUCUGUGGAAAUGUCAAACAGAGGGUUGCUCUUGAAGUUCUCCCAUAGCGAAGCUCGCGCACCUCUGUAUGACAAUAUUGAAGUGAAUGAAGGUAUCAAACAUACAAGAUUCAAAUCUGUUCAAACUUGAAAAGCAGUUGCUACCUUGCAUAGUAUCCGCCCUCGGGGUCAUUCCCCGUGUCAUAAAAAAGUCCCCGGAAGUAAACGAAGAUUGAGCGUGGAGUGUCUGGGGAAAUCAAGUGAGCUUGCAUUUUCUGCGGAGGAGCAUAGGGUGGAAUAAUGAUGGAACCCUCCUUCAGGCAAACAUGAUUCUCCUGUCCAAAGGUUUGGACCAAUGUAGCACGUCGCAGCAAUGGAAGAAUUCCACGCUCGAUAGCUUUUUCUUCCUGGAAAUGCCGAUACAAUCGUUACACAUACAACUUGUGAGUAAAAUGUAAGUUAAGGCAUUAAAAGGCAAGACUGCACACAAUGAAAAGCAUGGUGAACCUCACCUGAUAGUGGAAGCAUGCUGCAAAAUCAUGCGGAACAACGAAGAAAUGAUCUGCUCCAUCAGUCCUAUUCCAGAAGGGCCAUUUGUUUGAAAUAUAUUGGAUCGCGCUCCUCAUCACCCGUGGUGACUUAAACGGCAAGGGCAGUCCAGCGUUAGUUAAAUCGCAAGUAGUGUAAACUGGUGUAUAGAACCAAUCAGCUUCCUUGGGAUUUAGUGUCCGGACAGCACUCGAGAGCAAGAAACGAUGCAUGAAAAUUUCAGCAGCAAACAUGUGACUGAGGCACCGUGAAUCCUUGGUGACCAUCUUCUUGUUGUACUUCCUUGGUAAGUCAUAAAUGAAGACCUUCAACCUACCCACAGGAUUAUCUUCUAACACAUCACCAGCACUCCCUACAGUUUCAUAAUUGCUGUUUCAGUCCACACAAGCAACACACAUGAACAAAAUAUGAAGUAGACAAAGCAAAACAAUCAUAUGGAGAUUUUUCUACAUAAUAUUGUGAGCAACCUCUCCAUGUAGACUACAUCUAAGGUUACGAUACAAUAGUCUUUUUAAAGUUGAACCAAUUCAUGUCAUUAAGUUGGGCUCAUCUUUGUUUCCAUACCAUUUCAGCCAACCGAACCCAGAUUACCUGUAUACAGCUGCAUAUAAAGAAGACUCAUUUUCCAUGUUUCGAUAUCUGUUAGGAUCAACCUUACAAGUAACAAAAGCAAGAAAUUCUGGUGGACUAAAUGAAGGAGGACACCCAAAAUUAACCCUCAAGUAACAACUAAACGGUGAUUGUGUCACCCACAACUAACUACAAAGACGAUCGAGCUUGAACCUGAAAAUCUUCACGGAGAAAAAGUAAAAAAGAAGGCAAAAAAUGGAAAGCAAAUUCAGGCUGCACUGAUACAGAUUUGUCUAUCGGCCUCAAAGACGUCCUAGUCCACAAGUCUAAUCAACAGCAACAGCUAAGAAUAUUCAGAAAUCACCUAAUCAAUCUCCAACUCCACAGCUACAAGAGAUUAGUAUCACACGGAACGAAGAAAUUAACAGCUACGUAGGCCUCGGAUUCCAAGGCAGGCUACGAGAAGCAACACGUCGAAGGGUAGGGGAAAAAUCAAGUUCCUAAAUCACACCAGAAUCAACUUCGGAAAUUAAGAGGGGAAGAAGGUGGGGCACCUGAGAUGCGCUCGCUAUGCUGCUGAACGGCGUGUUCGGCCUCGCCGCCUCCGGCGGCGGCGGCGGCGACCGGCGGCCAGAGGGCAGAGUCGGCCAACAGCAGGAGGGCCACGGGGAACCACCCCUUUCUUGAUCCCAUCCCAGAAGACCUCUCCGGCCUCGACCUCCCGCAGCAAAGAGAGAGCUUGGCAAGGGGAUUGGAUUUAGGAAUUCGGUAAACAGAAGCAGGUUGGGGAAACUAAGGAGAGAUUUUGUUAGGGAACGUAUCUCGUGCUCAGGCGAUGUCCGUGCUCAUGUGAGCACUUUAAAUCGUGAGUGUUCCUUUUUAAUCCAACGAUUAGUGUUUUUUAUUCACUUAAGUCCUCUCACCUCAACGAUGAGUGUUCCUGAUCAGCAGCCUGAUCGUUGGAUUAAGAAGAAACACUCAUGAUUUAAAGUGCUCACAUGAGCACGGACGUCGCGUGAGCACGAGAUACGUUCCCAUUUUGUUAACGAGGAAGAGGGGACCGGGGAGGAGAGGAGAGAAUGGGUCCUUCCCUGCGACUGCGAGUCUGCGACCAGUCCACAGUUAUCAAACGGAAACACCUAUUUUUUUUCUCCUUCUGAGUCAUAGUUUUGAAAUAAGGUUGAACUAGAGGUGUUUACCUAUCUAGUGACAUUUUUUAAUAUACUAGAGCUAAUAGUUAGUUAGAUAAAAAAUUACGAAUAAAAUUAGCUAGCUAACAAAUAACUAGCUAACUAUUAGCUAGUUUGCUAAAAAUAACUAAUAAUUAAACUAAUAGAUAAGAUGUUUGGAUAUCUUCAGUUAAUUUUAUCAAUUACUCUGUCCAUAUGUUUUAGUUGUUUUAGUCUAUCAUAAUUCAAAUUAUUUUAACUUUAACCAAUAAUAUAUAUAAGAUUAAAUUAUUUUAAGCUAAAAAGAAUUACAUAUUAUGGUAGUUUAAUUUUAUGUUGUAAAAUCUUAUGAACAUUUGAUAUAUUCAAAUAAAAUUAAUAGUGGUUAACUUAGAAUAAAUCUAAAACGAUUAAAUCAUGUGGAGAGAGAUAGAGUAACUAUUAGCUUAGUGUAAGGUUAUGGUCUUGAACUCUUGACUGAGCAAGUUCGUUACCCGAAAAAAAAUUAUAAUCUCUACUACUUAUUAAGGCAGUAAAGGGUAGACUGUCAUUUCGUGUUCUGCCUUUCUAUUCCCCCCUCCCCGCACCAUUCUCUGCCAUUCUCAUUUUUUCCCAUUCCCACGUAGUCUCCAAGAGGAUUUGAACCCGCGACCCCUCAAGCAAUUGUGCUCGUAGCUACCACUACACCACAUGUGUGUUUAUGUCUACAUCUAUUACAGUAAAAACAUCUACUACAUCUCUUCUGAAGCCCACCUGCUACGCUUGCACAAUGUGUAGUAGUAGAUAAGUAUCACCGAGAUUCUUGAAUUAUAUUUUUGGAUGCAGGGAGUAGUAUUUAAAAAAGAGCCUUGCAUGCAGUUUCUUUUGUUUGAAUAAUAUUUUCAACUUAAAUUUCUUUUUUUGCAUGUGUGACAUUUAUUCUCCGUAAUAUUUUUCUAUGAAUCUGACUUGUGAGUCGUUUUCAUAAACCAACGCCAAAAUGAAUACAUGUUUCUUACUUGGAAACUCCGAACAAACACCACUAGCAGGAGGCGCUCGCGUUGGCGUCGCUCAUCGACGACAAGAAGAAGCUUGACGACUGUCAGUUCGACCUCUGGAAGCAGUCCUGCGUGGCCGCAUGUGCCGCUGUGUACGGUAAGCUCCGGCGCAGCCGCCGCUUGGACACGGUCCAGAGCGGCCGCACCGCGCUGUCCAUCGUUAAAUAGGGGGACCUCAUGGUCGUCGCCAACGCCAGCAACUCUCGGGUUGUUCUGGGCACCGCAUCCAACGACGGCGUCAUCACGCCGUCGAGCUCAUCAUCCACCUGAAGCCCAACCUAUCAUGUAAGUUGCUACUUACCGGCCAUGAAUUCUUGUGCGCUGGGACGACGGUCGUUGCUGACGUUGUCUGAGUGUCCUCGAACAAGAUUAAUGUAGAGGAGUAGCACAUCUAGUGGUGCAACGGCCAGGUGUAUUACCUUGCUGAUGAGCCCGGAGUGCACUUCGUUUGGCAGCCCAGCCAAGAGUCAUCGGUACUCGCCAUAUCGCGCGCGUUCGAUGUCUACUAUAUCAAGGACUGUGGCGUCAUCUCGGCGCCGGAGGGGACGUAGAGGAGGACCGACAGCAAUGACCACUCGCCAUCGUCGGGGUAGCUUUUUGUGUCGGCCUGUCUUUAAUUCUCUUCGCAAACACACACACACUUGCCUUUUUGUUUAAGCAAGCGUGUAUGGUGGUGUGUGCUUGAUGACUAACGAUGUACGAGGAAACUUCUACCGGCAGGUAUGGCACGUGCUCUCCAAUGAUGAGACCAUGCAAAUCGUGGUAUAUAUCGAAGACUGCAUGAUACUGAUGGUUGCAUUGUAGUAGUGAAACAACUAAAUUAAAAUAACAAAAUUUAUGUAUGGCUAGGAUUACAAAUGGAUUAUGAAACAUUUUCUUAUAACAAUAUAAGACACAUUUUGUAUAUAAAUUAUCAUGGUAUUAUAUGUUCCUCUUGCAACGCACGGGCACUCACCUAGUGAUCGCUGAAGGCUGGUAAAACUGGAUAGGGCCCCUUGAAUCACCGGUAAUAUUUGUCUAAAUCCUAUAUUUUUUCUAUAAAAAAAUGAUUCAUAAUAAUUUUCAUUAAAUUCCUGAGUCCAUGUUUAAACAUGAUUUUAUUUUUAAGUAUUUGACUGAACCAAGGUCAAACUAAAAAAAACCAUCGCGGCAGCAUCUGGCUAAAAAAUAUUUUGCAAAUUGCUACUACUGCCAAUAAUAACUAUCACUGUAGUUUGAACUUACUUUCAAACUCUCGUUUGGUUGUUUGAUUUUUGAUAAUUAAUGGCAGUAUUUUGUUGAAGUAAGUGCACCCAUGAAGAAGAAAGGAUAAGACCAUGUGAAAGUCGCCUAGAGGGAGGUGAAUAGGCGGAAUCUGAAAUUUACAAACUUAAGCACACACUACAAGUCGGGGUUAGCGUUAGAAUUAAAUUCAAGUCCGAAGGAGAGGGAAAAAACUCAACAAAGAAAUAAAGCGGAUGAACACGGUGAUUUGUUUUACCGAGGUUCGGUUCUUGCAAACCUACUCCCCGUUGAGGUGGUCACAAAAACCGGGUCUCUUUCAACCAUUUCCCUCUCUCAAACGGUCACUUAGACCGAGUGAGCUCUCUUUAAUCAAAUGGGACACUUAGUCCACUACAAGGACCACCACAACUUGGUGUCUCUUGCUUUGAUUACAAGUGAGUUGGAAACAAGAAUAGAGGAAGAAGAAAAGCGAUCCAAGCGCAAGAGCACAAAAGUCUCUCUCUCUAGUCACUAAUUUGUUUGGAGUGAUUCCGGACUUGGAGAGGAUUUGAUCUCUUUGUUUGUAUCUUGAAAUAAAGUCUAGAGCUCUUGUAUGAGGUUUGAUGGCUGAAAACUUGGAUGCAUUGAAGCGUGGUGGUUGGGGGUAUUUAUAGCCCCAACCACCAAAAUGGCGUUGGUGAGGGCUUCUGUCGUAUGGCGCACCGGACAGUUCGGUGCGCCAGCCACGUCACCAAGCCGUUGAGUUCCGACCGUUGGAGCUCUGACAUGUGGGGCCACCGGACAGUCCGGUGGUGCACCGGACAGUCAUUGUUCACUGUCCGGUGCGCCUUCUGGCACCGCUCUGGCUCUGCGCGCGUAGUCGCGCACUGUUCACUGUUCCUGUAGCUUUUGCAGACGACCGUUGGCGCAGAUAGCCUUUACCCCGCUGGCACACCGGACAGUCCGGUGAAUUAUAGCAGAGUGGCUCCCCAAAUUCCCGAAGCUAGCGAGUUGGAGGGAAUCCACCCUGGUGCACCGAACACUGUCCGGUGGCACACCGGAUGGUCCGGUGCGCCAGACCAGGGAAGCCUUCAGUUGCUUUGCUCCUUUCUUUUUGAACCCUUACUUUGAACUUUUUAUUGGUUUGUGUUGAACCUUUGGCACCUGUAGAACUUAUAAUCUAGAGCAAACUAGUUAGUCCAAUUGUUUGUGUUGGGCAAUUCAACCACCAAAAUCAUUUAGGAAAAAGUGUGAGCCUAUUUCCCUUUCAAUCUCCCCCUUUUUGGUGAUUGAUGCCAACACAAACCAAAGCAAAUAUAUAAGUGCAGAAUUGAACUAGUUUGCAUAAUAUAAGUGCAAAGGUUACUUGGAAUUAAACCAAUAUUCAUUUCAUAAGAUAUGCAUGGGUGCUUUCUUCUAAUUUAACAUUUUGGACCACGCUUGCACCACUUGUUUUGUUUUUGCAAAUGUUUUGGAAAUUCUUUUUCAAAGUCUUUUGCAAAUAGUCAAAGGUAUAUGAAUAAGAUUUUGAGAAGCAUUUUCAAGAUUUGAAAUGUUCUCCCCCUGUUUCAAAUGCUUUUCUUUUGACUAAAUAAAACUCCCCCUCAAUGAAAUUCUCCUCUUAGUGUUCAAGAGGGUUUUAGAUAUUAAUUUUGAAAGGGGUCCAAUUUGAAAUUAUAUCAACACUAAGAUAUCAAUUGAAAAACUUCUUUUACAAAUUGAAAGAACACAUUUUUUUUUGAAAUUGGUGGUGGUGCGAUCCUUUUGUUUUGGGCUAAUACUUUCUCCCCCUUUGGCAUGAAUCGCCAAAAACGGAUACUUGUGAGUGAAAUAUAAGCCCUUUGUCAAACAGUCUCCCCUUUGGUAGAUAAUAUAGGAGUGAAGAUUAUACCAAAUUGGAGAGCGGUGUGGAGCGACGGAGAAGGAUGAAUAAUUUGAUGGAGUGGAGUGGAAGCCUUAUCUUCGCCGAAGAUUCCAUUUCCCUUUCAAUCUGUAUAUGAGCAAUGUGUGCAAAAUAUCAUAGAAAAGAGAUUAUCAAAGGUAUAUAUAUGAGCAAUGUGUGCAAAAUAUCAAUCAAAAUUCCUAGAAUCAAGAAUGUUUAGCUCAUGCCUAAGUUUGGUAAAGGUUUUCUCAUCUAAAGGCUUGGUAAAUAUAUCGGCUAAUUGUUCUUUGGUGCUAACAUAUGCAAUCUCGAUAUCCUCCCGUUGUUGGUGAUCCCUCAAAAAGUGAUACCGAAUGGCUAUGUGCUUAGUGCGGCUUUGCUCAACGGGAUUAUCCGCCAUGCGGAUUGCACUCUCAUUAUCACAUAGAAGAGGAACUUUGGUUAAUUUGUAACCAUAGUCCCUAAGGGUUUGCCUCAUCCAAAGCAAUUGCGCGCAACAAUGGCCUGCUGCAAUAUACUCGGCUUCGGCAGUAGAAAGAGCUACAAAAUUUUGUUUCUUUGAAGCCCAAGACACCAGGGAUCUUCCCAAGAACUGACAAGUCCCUGAUGUGCUCUUCCUAUCAAUCUUACACCCUGCCCAAUCAGCAUCUGAAUAUCCUAUUAAAUCAAAAGUGGAUCCCCUGGGGUACCAAAGGCCAAACUUAGGAGUUUGAACUAAAUAUCUCAAGAUUCGUUUUAUGGCCCUAAGGUGAACUUCCUUAGGAUCGGCUUGGAAUCUUGCACACAUGCAUACGGAAAGCAUAAUAUCCGGUCGAGAUGCACAUAAAUAGAGUAAGGAUC